rnacentral:rRNA from 1 species
GACGAACGCUGGCGGCGUGCUUAACACAUGCAAGUCGAACGGAAAGGCCCUGCUUUUGUGGGGUGCUCGAGUGGCGAACGGGUGAGUAACACGUGAGUAACCUUCCCUUGACUUUGGGAUAACUUCAGGAAACUGGGGCUAAUACCGGAUAGGAGCUCCUGCUGCAUGGUGGGGGUUGGAAAGUUUCGGCGGUUGGGGAUGGACUCGCGUCUUAUCAGCUUGUUGGUGGGGUAGUGGCUUACCAAGGCUUUGACGGGUAGCCGGCCUGAGAGGGUGACCGGCCACAUUGGGACUGAGAGACGGCCCAGACUCCUACGGGAGGCAGCAGUGGGGAAUAGUGCACAAUGGGCGGAAGCCUGAUGCAGCAACGCCGCGUGCGGGAUGACGGCCUUCGGGUUGUAAACCGCUUUCGCCUGUGACGAAGCGUGAGUGACGGUAAUGGGUAAAGAAGCACCGGCUAACUACGUG